rnacentral:rRNA from 1 species
GACAGAGGGCUCAAACGUUGUUCGGAAUCACUGGGCAUAAAGGGCGCGUAGGCGGCUCGUUAAGUCGGUUGUGAAAUCCCCCGGCUCAACCGGGGAACGGCAUCCGAUACUGGCGGGCUCGAGGACGGGAGGGGUAAGUGGAACUCCAGGUGGAACGGUGAAAUGUGUAGAUAUCUGGAGGAACACCGGUGGCGAAAGCGGCUUACUGGCCCGUAUCUGACGCUGAGGCGCGAAAGCUAGGGGAGCAAACGGGAUUAGAUACCCCGGUAGUCCUAGCUGUAAACGAUGGGCACUGGGCAGUGGGGGCUCCUAUGACCUUCACUGCCGUAGCAAAUGUGUUAAGUGCCCCGCCUGGGGAGUACGCUCGCAAGGGUAAA